rnacentral:rRNA from 1 species
CAAGUCGAGCGAUGAAGUUUCUUCGGAAAUGGAUUAGCGGCGAACGGGUGAGGAACACGUGAAGAAUCUGCCCUCCACUUUGGGAUAACACCGGGAAACCGGUGCUAAUACCGAAUAUUGAAACAUAAGUGGCAUCACUGAGUUUUGAAAGAAUUUCGGUGGAGGAUGACUUCGCGGCCUAUCAGCUAGUUGGUGAGGUAAUGGCUCACCAAGGCAACGACGGGUAGCCGGCCUGAGAGGGCGACCGGCCACACUGGGACUGAGACACGGCCCAGACUCCUACGGGAGGCAGCAGUGGGGAAUAUUGGGCAAUGGAGGAAACUCUGACCCAGCGACGCCGCGUGCGGGAUGAAGGCCUUCGGGUUGUAAACCGCUUUCAGUAGGGAAGAAGCGAAAGUGACGGUACCUACAAAAGGAGCACCGGCUAACUAUGUGCCAGCAGCCGCGGUAAUACAUAGGGUGCAAGCGUUGUCCGGAAUUAUUGGGCGUAAAGAGCUCGUAGGUCGUUUGUUACGUCGGAUGUGAAAACCUGAGGCUCAACCUCAGGCCUGCAUUCGAUACGGGCAAACUAGAGUUUGGUAGGGGAGACUGGAAUUCCUGGUGUAGCGGUGGAAUGCGCAGAUAUCAGGAGGAACACCAAUGGCGAAGGCAGGUCUCUGGGCCAAUACUGACACUGAGGAGCGAAAGUCUGGGGAGCGAACAGGAUUAGAUACCCUGGUAGUCCAGACCGUAAACGGUGGGCACUAGUUGUGGGAACCUUCCACGGUUUCUGCGACGCGGCUAACGCAUUAAGUGCCCCGCCUGGGGAGUACGAUCGCAAGAUUAAAACUCAAAGGAAUUGACGG